GUGCCAGCCGCCGCGGUAACACGUAGGGGGCAAGCGUUGUCCGGAAUCAUUGGGCGUAAAGAGCUCGUAGGCGGCUCAAUAAGUCGGGUGUGAAACCCCCAGGCUCAACCUGGGGACGCCACCCGAUACUGUUGUGGCUAGAGUCCAGUAGGGGAGUGUGGAAUUCCCGGUGUAGCGGUGAAAUGCGCAGAUAUCGGGAGGAACACCAGCGGCGAAGGCGGCACUCUGGGCUGGUACUGACGCUGAGGAGCGAAAGCGUGGGUAGCAAACAGGAUUAGAUACCCCUGUAGUCC
rnacentral:rRNA from 1 species